rnacentral:rRNA from 1 species
CAGUAGCCGCGGUAAUACGUAGGGUGCAAGCGUCAAUCGGAAUUACUGGGCGUAAAGCGUGCGCAGGCGGUUCGUUAAGACAGAUGUGAAAUCCCCGGGCUUAACCUGGGAACUGCAUUUGUGACUGGCGGGCUAGAGUAUGGCAGAGGGGGGUAGAAUUCCACGUGUAGCAGUGAAAUGCGUAGAGAUGUGGAGGAAUACCGAUGGCGAAGGCAGCCCCCUGGGCCAAUACUGACGCUCAUGCACGAAAGCGUGGGGAGCAAACGGGAUUAGAUACCCCAGUAGUCCCUGUCUCUUAUAC